AGCGGGGUGGGCUAGCCUGGUAAGGCCGCGGGGCUCAUAUAACCCCGAGGUCCCUGGUUCAAAUCCAGGCCCCGCUACCA
rnacentral:tRNA from 1 species